rnacentral:rRNA from 1 species
AGCGGCGGACGGGUGAGUAACACGUGGGUAACCUGCCUGUAAGACUGGGAUAACUCCGGGAAACCGGGGCUAAUACCGGAUGCUUGAUUGAACCGCAUGGUUCAAUUAUAAAAGGUGGCUUUUACCUACCACUUACAGAUGGACCCGCGGCGCAUUACCUAGUUGGUGAGGUAACGGCUCACCAAGGCAACGAUGCGUACCCAACCUGAAAGGGUGAUCGGCCACACUGGGACUGAAACACGGCCCAAACUCCUACGGGAGGCAGCAGUAGGGAAUCUUCCGCAAUGGACAAAAGUCUGACGGACCAACGCCGCGUGAGUGAUGAAGGUUUUCGGAUCGUAAAACUCUGUUGUUAGGGAAAAACAAGUACCGUUCGAAUAGGGCGGUACCUUGACGGUACCUAACCAAAAAGCCACGGCUAACUACGUGCCACCAGCCGCGGUAAUACGUAGGUGGCAAGCGUUGUCCGGAAUUAUUGGGCGUAAAGCGCGCGCAGGCGGUUUCUUAAGUCUGAUGUGAAAGCCCCCGGCUCAACCGGGGAGGGUCAUUGGAAACUGGGGAACUUGAGUGCAAAAAAGGAGAGUGAAAUUCCACGUGUAGCGGUGAAAUGCGUAGAGAUGUGAAGGAACACCAGUGGCGAAGGCGACUCUCUGGUCUGUAACUGACGCUGAGGCGCGAAAGCGUGGGGAGCGAACAGGAUUAGAUACCCUGGUAGUCCACGCCGUAAACGAUGAG